GAAUUCGCCCUUAGAGUUUGAUCCUGGCUCAGGAUGAACGCUAGCUACAGGCUUAACACAUGCAAGUCGAGGGGCAGCGGGAUUGAAGCUUGCUUCAAUUGCCGGCGACCGGCGCACGGGUGAGUAACGCGUAUCCAACCUUCCGUACACUCAGGGAUAGCCUUUCGAAAGAAAGAUUAAUACCUGAUGGUAUGAUGAGAUUGCAUGAUAGCAUCAUUAAAGAUUUAUCGGUGUACGAUGGGGAUGCGUUCCAUUAGGUAGUAGGCGGGGUAACGGCCCACCUAGCCAACGAUGGAUAGGGGUUCUGAGAGGAAGGUCCCCCACAUUGGAACUGAGACACGGUCCAAACUCCUACGGGAGGCAGCAGUGAGGAAUAUUGGUCAAUGGACGAGAGUCUGAACCAGCCAAGUAGCGUGAAGGAUGAAGGUCCUACGGAUUGUAAACUUCUUUUAUAAGGGAAUAAACCCUCCCACGUGUGGGAGCUUGUAUGUACCUUAUGAAUAAGCAUCGGCUAACUCCGUGCCAGCAGCCGCGGUAAUACGGAGGAUGCGAGCGUUAUCCGGAUUUAUUGGGUUUAAAGGGAGCGCAGACGGGUCGUUAAGUCAGCUGUGAAAGUUUGGGGCUCAACCUUAAAAUUGCAGUUGAUACUGGCGUCCUUGAGUGCGGUUGAGGUGUGCGGAAUUCGUGGUGUAGCGGUGAAAUGCUUAGAUAUCACGAAGAACUCCGAUUGCGAAGGCAGCACACUAAUCCGUAACUGACGUUCAUGCUCGAAAGUGUGGGUAUCAAACAGGAUUAGAUACCCUGGUAGUCCACACGGUGAACGAUGGAUACUCGCUGUUGGCGAUAUACUGUCAGCGGCUUAGCGAAAGCGUUAAGUAUCCCACCUGGGGAGUACGCCGGCAACGGUGAAACUCAAAGGAAUU
rnacentral:rRNA from 1 species